GUAGUCCACGCCCUAAACGAUGUCAACUAGCUGUUGGGGGUUUGAAUCCUUAGUAGCGAAGCGAACGCGAGAAGUUGACCGCCUGGGGAGUACGGCCGCAAGGUUAAAACUCAAAGGAAUUGACGGGGACCCGCACAAGCGGUGGAUGAUGUGGAUUAAUUCGAUGCAACGCGAAAAACCUUACCUGGUCUUGACAUGUAACGGAGGCGGAAGAGAUUCUGCGGUGCCCGCAAGGGAGCGUUAACACAGGUGCUGCAUGGCUGUCGUCAGCUCGUGUCGUGAGAUGUUGGGUUAAGUCCCGCAACGAGCGCAACCCUUGCCCUUAUUUGCCAUCCUGAGAAGGGGCACUCUAAUGGGACUGCCGGUGACAAGCCGGA
rnacentral:rRNA from 1 species